rnacentral:misc_RNA from 1 species
AUUAUUAACGUGAAUGUGUAUACGAUCCGUUACUCACCGUGUGAAUACCGGCGGCGAUGAAGUCUAUGAUUGCAGCUUUCUUGUCUCGCAUAUCCAAAUCUUUUUCACGCAGUAUGGAUCUGAAGACUGCUUCGACGCCUUCGUCACGUGCGUCAUCCCGUUGUUCCGACUUUGUAGUUUCAAGUAGUUCUGAUAUCGUGCUAAUCGUAAAUGGCAUCCUCGCUGUUAAUUAAUUCUGCGUAAGCUUUGGUAGCCAUUAUUUUCCACAGUGGUAAACCGUAGAAAGCAUCUCUAGACGCCCGGAAGUGGACGCGUACGGCAUCGGCCAAUCUAGUUGCCAAACCUCCUGUGCAGUCUGGUUCGAGAAAUCCCAAACGUCUGCCCAGGAUCAAGGUACACGUACCUGAAACGCC